CAACAGAUGUACGGAUCGAACGGAGCGAGCGCAGGCCUGCCGGUGGGCAUGACCACGUUGAAGGGCACCACGGGCACGCUGGGAGCGCUGGGGACCUACGGCUCGGCCCUCGGAUCGGGGGUAACGGGUGCCACGACCCUGCCGCGGCCGGGAAACUGGCUGCGCCCUGCGGGCCUCAGGCACGGGCACAGCGCGGCCCGGGUCCGCCUCUACUGCCAGGCAAAGUGAGGAGCCACGGUUCCGACAGCGACAUCUCCUCCAGCCAAAAAGACGAAUGGUUUGUGUAGAGGCAGGCCUGGACCAGAGCCCGCAGGGUGAACCGGUGCGGUGGUGCCCUCACCGCCCCCCUCCCUCCCCGGAGACGUGACGACGCGAUGCGUCGCUUCGUUCCUACUCACAUCGGUCGCGUGUUACCGGCGAACAUCUCGUUGCGUGCCACGCAACUCUCCCCAGAAACACACCCUUUCACUUCCACCGAAAACGGAUCGGCGAGUUUUUACCGAUCGGGCCCUCCCCCCUCCCCUGACAAGCAGCUCCACGUCAGCAAGCAAACGUCACGUGGUGCGUGUACCAGCUGAAACAGUUGUUCCUGCAGAUCGUUGACACGUCGCACGUAGAUCUAUUAGCGUGGUCAUCGAGUCAUCCGUCACUCGCGGAUAGAACUCGUGCCUUCUGAUCCGUCUGAUCUACGCGUUUCUACCGCGUGCUUCUUCGAGUUCGAGCGGGAACAGAUGCUCGUAGAACCAAGACGACACGGGGUGGGAUGGUAUCGUUGACUGGAUGCGAGGCGUGGACACGUGAUCCGACGGAUAAUUGGACAAAAUUUCGUUGCAGCGCGAAUAUACGUUGUACGAGCGUGUGUGUGUGUGUGAGAGAGAGAGAAAGAUAGGAAAGCAUGAGAUUCGUAGAAAAAGAGAGAAAGAGAGAAAAAGAGAGAGAGAGAGAGAGAGAGAGUGCGGGAGUGAGACUUGGAAAGGGAAAAGAAGUCAUGGAUACACAGCCAGGAAAGCAACCGGAGAUUUAUUCUCGCGGUACGUGUGUGUGUAAACAUUUCUUCUUUUUUCUUUUUCCAUUUUUCUUUUUUUUUUUCUCUUUUUGUUGAGUUUUACGUAAUUUUUGUCACGUGUGGAUAGCCGGGUGUCUCCUUGGUACCGAUUUCACGGAACAAAUGGAAUUCAGUCUUCACAGAAUGUGAACGCGCUUGCUAUUUGUCAAUUGUUCUAAAAGUAUCCAAUUUUUUCCAACCAGUGAAUUACGUGUCGUGUAACAUUACAUUUAAU